AAGUCGUAACAAGGUUUCCGUAGGUGAACCUGCGGAAGGAUCAUUAAAGAGUAAGGGUCUCCGGGCCCGAUCUCCAACCCUUUGUUUAAUUACCAUGUUGCUUUGGCGGGCCCGUCUCACGACCGCCGGAAGUUUGGUCUCAACCAGACUUCUGGCCCGUGCCCGUCAGUGGCCCCAUCAAAUUCUUGAUUAAAUAUGAUGUCUUAGUUAUAAACUUAAUAGUUAAAACUUUCAACAACGGAUCUCUUGGUUCUG
rnacentral:misc_RNA from 1 species